CAAUAGCGUAUAUUAAAGUUGUUGCAGUUAAAAAGCUCGUAGUUGGAUUUGUGGCGUACGGUGUGUUCCGGGCACUUGUUGUCUGAGUAACCUGCUGUUGCCAUCCUUGGGUGGAACCUGUGUGGCAUUAGGUUGUCGUGCAGGGGAUGCCCAUCAUUUACUGUGAAAAAAUUAGAGUGUUCAAAGCAGGCUUAUGCCGUUGAAUACAUUAGCAUGGAAUAAUGAGAUAGGACUUUUUUGCUAUUUUGUUGGUUUGCGCAAAGAGGUAAUGAUUAAUAGGGACAGUUGGGGGUAUUCGUAUUCCAUUGUCAGAGGUGAAAUUCUUGGAUUUUUGGAAGACGAACUACUGCGAAAGCAUUUACCAAGGAUGUUUUCAUUAA
rnacentral:rRNA from 1 species